rnacentral:tmRNA from 1 species
GGGGGCGUACAUGGCUUUCGACGGGGAUGUAUUUUGUAAAGGAAGCGAGCUGAGGGAAUCCUAGACCCUCAUAAAUAAACCAGGAAUUAAAUUUAAACGCAAACGAUAAUUACGCUUUAGCAGCUUAGUAGCUGCUCGUCCUUGGUAAGUAACCCGCGGCUUAUCAAAGGACGUCAACUUAGCGGGGCACCGAGCUUAGCAAAGCUUUGAGCUAAGAACGGAACUAAUGAAGCUACCGGAUUUUCAAUCCUGUCAGUAGGAGUGAAAAUUGGGGAAUCCCAAAUUACUGACUGCGCUCGGAGAUGCUUUUAUGGGAUUGUUUUCGGACAGGGGUUCGAUUCCCCUCGCCUCCACCA